GGGAUUUUUAAUUCUUUGUUUGAAUAUCUUGAUGUGGUUAAUUGGAUAGAAUUUGCUAGAAUCAAGGAACCUGCUUAUAUAGAGUUAACCUUUGAAUUUUUGAGUUCCUUCAAAUUGGUUUUUAGGCCGGAUAUAAAAGGGUAUAGGGAUGUCAUUCAAUUUAGAUGUGCUGGCAUUGAAAGAGAACUUGAUAUGGGUUCAUUGAGUGCCAUUUUUGG
rnacentral:misc_RNA from 1 species